GGGUUUAAAGUGUGCGUAGGCGGGCGUAUAAGUCAGUGGUGAAAUCCUGGAGCUUAACUCCAGAACUGCCAUUGAUACUAUAUGUCUUGAAUAUGGUGGAGGUAAGCGGAAUAUGUCAUGUAGCGGUGAAAUGCAUAGAUAUGACAUAGAACACCUAUUGCGAAGGCAGCUUACUACGCCUAUAUUGACGCUGAGGCACGAAAGCGUGGGGAUCAAACAGGAUUAGAUACCCUGGUAGUCCACGCCCUAAACGAUGAUUACUCGACGUGUGCGAUAAACGGUACGCGUCUGAGCGAAAGCAUUAAGUAAUCCACCUGGGAAGUACGACCGCAAGGUUGAAACU
rnacentral:rRNA from 1 species